GGCAACCCCAGUAGGAGGCAUGUUUUUUCUGGCUUCCUUAUGGGGCUCACACAGCCCCUGGAAGGUUUAUGAGAGCAGCGUGUAUCCUUCAUAAGAAAGGAUGGUGUUGUGCAAGCCAUUACAUGUGUCCUGCCUCCAGAAGCAUUGUCAUAAAGAGUCAAGGAAAACUUUUCUCCAAAAUAAGUAGUUCCAUGUGACCAGCCUUGUCAAGCACAAAGCAAAGCCUCAGCACCCUGAGACAGCUCAGUUGCCUUGCAGAAUUAUCUUAUGUGGCUCAACAAGAAGAUCAUCCUGUGGUCAUGCAAACAGCUGUGUCAGUAUAAAAGCAUGACAGUGAGGAGUGGUGGAAGACAACAAGGGAAGUACUGCUGCCCAGUACCUUUUGAUUUCCCUCUGAUCUUCACCCCAGUGCUUUGCCACCCCUCACUUGCAGUGCUCACCAGGGCUGCAGCACCUCCAGAUGAUUAAGGAUGAACAGGAGUCCUCCUCCCCCACCAUUUGUCUGAUUUCAGACAAAGGAAUUUGCAUCCUGUGCAGGAGUUCCCUUGCUGCCUGGAAGGAACAUAUGGAUUGUUAAUGAUAUAAACCUGGAAGCUCACUGAGUAACAGAAUACCUGGGGCUGUUGAUGUGAUCUAGUGCAAACCUCUACUCAAGCAGCAUCACCUAGAGCAGGUUUUUCAGGACCAUGUCCAGUCAGAUUUUGCAAAUCUCCACUUAUGGAGGCUUUGCAGAAUCUCUGGGCAGCUGAACAGACAGGCAAUGACCAAAGACCAAAUGUCAGUACAGAUCCUUUUGACACUUUCCAGCUUUAUGGUAAAUUAUUAAGGU
rnacentral:lncRNA from 1 species